rnacentral:rRNA from 1 species
UACGAAGGGGGCUAGCGUUGCUCGGAAUCACUGGGCGUAAAGGGUGCGUAGGCGGGUCUUUAAGUCAGGGGUGAAAUCCUGGAGCCUCAACCUCCAGAACUGUCCUUUGAUACUGAGGAUCUUGAGUUCGGGAGAGGUGAGUGGAACUGCGAGUGUAGAGGUGAAAUGCGUAGAUAUUAGGAAGAACACCAGUGGCGAAGGCGGCUCACUGGCCCGGUACUGACGCUCAUGUGCGAAAGCGUGGGGAGCAAACAGG